AUGCUGUGGUGUGGGCAUGCUUGAAUGUAAUCCUGGAGACGUUCCUAGACUUCUGGGAUGGUCUCAUCCUGGACUUGUUGAAUCCCAGAGAUCCUGUUCCGAAGGGC